rnacentral:lncRNA from 1 species
UCACAUUCUCUUAAGUAUCAAGAAGAGAAGUUGAAGCUUCACUUGAGCCAUUCAUCAGUAACUUCUUUGUACUUCAAAAGAGUUCAAUUUUUUUAUUUUUCAUUUGUGCUGAAUUUUUAUAUCUUGUAUCUUAUUUUCUUUACAAGUUUUUUUGGAGAAAAAAAAUUUGAGAUUAGGCCCGUCUAUAUCCAGAAUUGGA